rnacentral:rRNA from 1 species
ACGGAAGGCAGCAGUGGGGAAUAUUGGGCAAUGGGCGAAAGCCUGACCCAGCAAUGCCGCGUGAAGGAAGAAGGUCUUCGGAUUGUAAACUUCUUUUAUGAGGGACGAAGGAAUUGACGGUACCUCAUGAAUAAGCCACGGCUAACUACGUGCCAGCAGCCGCGGUAAUACGUAGGUGGCAAGCGUUAUCCGGAUUUACUGGGUGUAAAGGGCGCGUAGGCGGGGAAGCAAGUCAGAUGUGAAAUCUAUGGGCUUAACUCAUAAACUGCAUUUGAAACUGUUUCUCUUGAGUGCUGGAGAGGUAGAUGGAAUUCCUAGUGUAGCGGUGAAAUGCGUAGAUAUUAGGAAGAACACCAGUGGCGAAGGCGAUCUACUGGGCUCUAACUGACGCUGAGGCACGAAAGUGUGGGUAGCAAACAGGAUUAGAUACCCUGGUA